rnacentral:rRNA from 1 species
UACGUAGGGACCGAGCGUUGUCCGGAUUCAUUGGGCGUAAAGAGCGCGCAGGCGGUCGUUCAAGUCGAGUGUGAAAGCCCCCGGCUCAACUGGGGAGGGUCAUUCGAUACUGAUCGACUCGAAGGCAGGAGAGGGUAGUGGAAUUCCCGGUGUAGCGGUGAAAUGCGCAGAUAUCGGGAGGAACACCCGUAGCGAAGGCGGCACUCUGGGCCGGUACUGACGCUGAGGAGCGAAAGCGUGGGGAGCAAACAGG